UGGUCAGUAGGUUGGUCGUGCCACCGGUACGUAGUGGUCUCACUGAUUCCUCCUUCCUGAAGAACCGUAAUGCCAUUAAUUUGGUGUUGCGGGGAAACAGGACUGUUACUUUGAAAAAAUUAGAGUGUUUAAAGCAAGCUAACGCUUGAAUACAUUAGCAUGGAAUAAUGAAAUAGGACGAUAGAUCCUAUUUUGUUGGUUUCUAGGAUUGACGUA
rnacentral:rRNA from 1 species